rnacentral:rRNA from 1 species
AUACAGAGGGUGCAAGCGUUAAUCGGAAUUACUGGGCGUAAAGCGCGCGUAGGCGGUUUGUUAAGUUGGAUGUGAAAGCCCCGGGCUUAACCUGGGAGGGUCAUUCAAAACUGGCAGACUAGAGUGUGGUAGAGGGUAGUGGAAUUCCUAGUGUAGCGGUGAAAUGCGUAGAGAUUAGGAGGAACACCAGUGGCGAAGGCGACUGCCUGGACCAACACUGACGCUGAGGUGCGAAAGCGUGGGUAGCGAACAGGAUUAGAAACCCUGGUAGUCC